rnacentral:rRNA from 1 species
CCCUUAGAUGUUCUGGGCUGCACGCGCGCUACACUGAAGCGUUCAACGAGUAUUCACCUUGCCCGGGAGGGUUGGGUAAUCUUUUGAAAACGCUUCGUGAUGGGGAUAGAUUAUUGCAAUUAUUAAUCUUCAACGAGGAAUUCCUAGUAAGCGCGAGUCAUCAGCUCGUGCUGAUUACGUCCCUGCCCUUUGUACACACCGCCCGCCGCUCCUACCGAUUGAGUGGUCCGGUGAAUAAUUCGGACUGCAGCACUGCUUGGUCUCCAGGCUUUGCAGCGGAAAGUUUAGUGAACCUUAUCACUUAGAGGAAGGAGAAGUCGUAACA